UACGUAGGGUGCGAGCGUUGUCCGGAAUUACUGGGCGUAAAGAGCUCGUAGGUGGUUUGUCGCGUUGUUCGUGAAAACUCACAGCUUAACUGUGGGCGUGCGGGCGAUACGGGCAGACUGGAGUACUGCAGGGGAGACUGGAAUUCCUGGUGUAGCAGUGAAAUGCGUAGAUAUCAGGAGGAAUACCGAUGGCGAAGGCAGGUCUCUGGGCUAUAACUGACGCUCAUGCACGAAAGCGUGGGGAGCAAACAGG
rnacentral:rRNA from 1 species